GCACUCGUGGCGAAAUGGCAGACGCGCACGCUUGAGGUGCGUGUGGGUAACCCCAUGGGAGUUCGAGUCUCCCCGAGUGCACCA
rnacentral:tRNA from 1 species